rnacentral:rRNA from 1 species
UACGUAGGGUGCAAGCGUUGUCCGGAAUUAUUGGGCGUAAAGAGCUCGUAGGCGGUCUGUCGCGUCGGCUGUGAAAACUCGGGGCUCAACCCCGAGCCUGCAGUCGAUACGGGCAGACUAGAGUGCUGUAGGGGAGACUGGAAUUCCUGGUGUAGCGGUGAAAUGCGCAGAAUAUCAGGAGGAACACCGGUGGCGAAGGC